AGUCACUGACAUUAGAUACCCCCUGUAGUCCCAGCCGUAAACGAUGCUCGCUAGGUGUCAGGCAUGGCGUGACUGUGUUUGGUGCCGAAGGGAAGCCGUGAAGCGAGCCACCUGGGAAGUACGGCCGCAAGGCUGAAACUUAAAGGAAUUGGCGGGGGAGCACAACAACGGGUGGAGCCUGCGGUUUAAUUGGACUCAACGCCGGAAAACUCACCAGGGGAGACAGCAAUAUGUAGGUCAAGCUGAAGACUUUACCUGAAUCGCUG
rnacentral:rRNA from 1 species